GACGAACGCUGGCGGCGUGCUUAACACAUGCAAGUCGAACGGAAAGGCCCUGCUUUUGUGGGGUGCUCGAGUGGCGAACGGGUGAGUAACACGUGAGUAACCUGCCCUUGACUUUGGGAUAACUUCAGGAAACUGGGGCUAAUACCGGAUAGGAGCUCCUGCUGCAUGGUGGGGGUUGGAAAGUUUCGGCGGUUGGGGAUGGACUCGCGGCUUAUCAGCUUGUUGGUGGGGUAGUGGCUUACCAAGGCUUUGACGAGUAGCCGGCCUGGGAGGGUGACCGGCCACAUUGGGACUGAGAUACGGCCCAGACUCCUACGGGAGGCAGCAGUGGGGAAUAUUGCACAAUGGGCGGAAGCCUGAUGCAGCAACGCCGCGUGCGGGAUGACGGCCUUCGGGUUGUAAACCGCUUUCGCCUGUGACGAAGCGUGAGUGACGGUAAUGGGUAAAGAAGCACCGGCUAACUACGUG
rnacentral:rRNA from 1 species